rnacentral:lncRNA from 1 species
UUGCUUAAUAAUGAAAUAAAAGUCCUGAUACAGCUGAGGGAAAGCUAAUUUUUUUUUUUUUUGAAAAGUCAUAAUCCUACAACGUAAAGUCAUAUUAAUAGUUAAAUACUAUUACAGAUUAAACUUUUCUGGAAGUUACUAUUACUGUCAUCCCAUCUUAUAAUAUACUUGUUUACGUGGAAGAAUGCCGGACAUGGACAUCUUAUCAAUGUCCGAUGGAGACGAAAAGGAUCUGCCAGUGGAUUUCAUACAUCUUCUUCUCCCUUAUAUCUCAUGCGGUACGCAAAAUGAACGCGAAUGGCCACUAAAUGGGGUAGUAGAUUUCACUUUGCCAAUCAAGAAAGAUACAAGCAUGUGUUUAGCUCCCAUUUCUUUAAACUCAUUUCCAAUCUUACGUUUCAUAGAAUCCGCAAGUUUUAUUAACUUUUCAACUACAAAUUUCUUCAAUUUUUAUUAAAUUCUACUAAAAGUUUGAUCUUAGCUAAACCAAACAGGGGCUAUGGCGCUAUGCCUUUCUAUUUUAUAUCCGAAAGGAGCUCAGUACUGUAUAAUCCAACAUAUGAGACACAGCGUCAUCGGAGGAUGCAAAGUCAUUACAGAAUUAAAAUAGUCAAGAUCUUUAUUCCCUCCUUGUCACCUUAAACUGAAGCACCAAAUUCAUUUUACACAAAAAGAAUAUCUGAAGAGUAGAUUU